rnacentral:tRNA from 7 species
GGAGAGGUGGCAGAGUUGGUCGAUUGCACCUGAUUUGAAAUCAGACGAGCUGUCAAAGGCUCCGCGGGUUCGAAUCCCGCCCUCUCCU